GUGCACCAGGCGCGAAUCUUUCGCAAUGGGGGAAACCCUGACGAAGCGACGCCGCGUGCAGGAUGAAGGCCUUCGGGUUGUAAACUGCGUGUCGGCUGGGAAAAAAUACGAUGCGUGAAUAACGCAGCGUUUUGAUGGUACCAGCAAAGGAAGCCACGGCUAACUCUGUGCCAGCAGCCGCGGUAAUACAGAGGUGGCAAGCGUUGUUCGGAUUUACUGGGCGUAAAGGGUUCGUAGGCGGUUCGGAAAGUCAAAUGUGAAAUCCCAACAGCUCAACUGUGGAACUGCAUUUGAAACUCCCGGGCUAGAGUAUGAGAGGGGUAAAAGG
rnacentral:rRNA from 1 species